AGGGUACUGCAAAGUUAGUGAUGAUUUGCUAAUUUUUUACCAAUGCUAACGCAACGGGGGCCAUUGACAGCACUGGCAGGCGCGAUGCCCCGCAUCGAUCGGGGAUGUCAAAUGCCGGAGCCUGGGUCACCCACCUGUUUUAAGACAGGUUCAAAAUUAGCGAGUCACACGGCCAAGCGGUGCCCUC
rnacentral:other from 1 species